UGGGGAAUUUUGGACAAUGGGCGAAAGCCUGAUCCAGCAAUGCCGCGUGUGUGAAGAAGGCCUUCGGGUUGUAAAGCACUUUUGUCCGGAAAGAAAUCCUUGGCUCUAAUACAGUCGGGGGAUGACGGCACCGGAAGAAUAAGCACCGGCUAACUACGUGCCAGCAGCCGCGGUAAUACGUAGGGUGCAAGCGUUAAUCGGAAUUACUGGGCGUAAAGCGUGCGCAGGCGGUUUGCUAAGACCGAUGUGAAAUCCCCGGGCUCAACCUGGGAACUGCAUUGGUGACUGGCAGGCUAGAGUAUGGCAGAGGGGGGUAGAAUUCCACGUGUAGCAGUGAAAUGCGUAGAGAUGUGGAGGAAUACCGAUGGCGAAGGCAGCCCCCUGGGCCAAUACUGACGCUCAUGCACGAAAGCGUGGGGAGCAAACAGGAUUAGAUACCCUGGUAGUCCACGCCCUAAACGAUGUCAACUAGUUGUUGGGGAUUCAUUUCCUUAGUAACGUAGCUAACGCGUGAAGUUGACCGCCUGGGGGAGUACGGUCGCAAGAUUAAAACUUAAAUGAAUUGACGGGGUCAUAGCUGUUUCCU
rnacentral:rRNA from 1 species